CUAUUGCAAGCAUCCACAACUACAAAAGAAGUAUUAAGGUAAACCUAACCAUAGCAUGAAACAAAUGGAUCCAAAUCAGACCCUUACGAAGCAACGCAUAAACUAGGGUUUAAGCUUCUGUCACUCUAGCAACCCAUCAUCUACUUAUUACUUCCCAAUGCCUUCCUCUAGGUCCAAAUAAUGGUGAAGUGUCAUGUAGUCGACGUUCACAUAACACCACUAGAGGAGAGACAAUGUGGCACCCCAGCUCAGAGAAAACCGGAACGCCCCAUAUUCCAGCCCAGAGAUCGAGGAGAAGCCUUCUGGAAUACGACACUGCUUAGCAUAGAACAAACCAGCCUUCUAUUAUUACACGAAUAUUAAUACAAGGUCACCAAUAUUACAAUGAAUAACGUCGGUACGGCGACACUAAGCCAUCCUCAGUUGCUCUAUGCAAGCAGCAGAACAACAGGAUGCAGCGGAAGAACUCUAGCAGCGGAACAACGACGACGGUGCUGAACUCCACUCCGCAGGGACUCUGGCUGGAACACUUAUCCUACCUCGCACGAACGGAAACCACGACAAGGAAGCAAUCAAAUCCGGCAUGACCUGCAAGCUGGCAUGACACGCCAGGUCAGUACAUUGAAUGUACUUGCAAGCUCACAAUAAUCUAGAAGCAUUCAAGACAAACAACAGCAUGGCAAUUACAGGUUAAACAAGAAUUUAACAUGAUAGCAUCAGAAUAACAUGGCAUGACCAACAUAAACAUGAUAGAACUAACUCAACAUGAACAUAGUAAUCCUGACAAUACUAGCAUGCAACAUGAUGGCACUACAGGCACCACUUAUUCUGCUCGGGCUACCUCGUAACCAACACAUGCAUCACUUACCAACCUCGAACAUCACACGAUCAUCUCAGGAUCAAAUCAAGCUUGGUAUAAACAAUACCGUAGCGAUCAGUAAACGAACACAAGGAGCUUGAUCUUUACCCACGAUUCUAGUACCACAUCACGAAUAUACAACAACUCUGUAUCCUCAAUACCACCAUGAUUCUUAUGACGAUCACAACCCGACCAACACUUGGCCCGUGAUCCUUACGACGAUCACAACCCGACCACUAAAUGGCCCGUGAUCCUUAUGGCGAUCACAACAAACUCAUCUCAUUGUUAUUAAGCACAUUAUUCUUAUUACUGUUGACUCAUGGUGUGACCUUCUCUCGACCUGGGCCCUUAUCCGCAGGCGCGGCUAUCGAUAUAUUUAAUAUACACUUUGCAGAGGUUAGUACACUGUACCCACACUACGGAACACAUGGCCUCGCAGUCCCAUUCAGGUGGACCAACGGCGUUCCGACAAAACCGUCCUACUGCCAUGACACUCUCCCGGCCACUCCGACUCACUCCUCACUGAGCUAAGUCAUGGGUGGCCCCGUGCCUACCUCCAGACACAACAACCACAGUCGUGGCCCAAAACAUAAAUGAUCCCACACGGGGAUUCACCAGCUAUAACAACUACGGGCACACAAGGUUAUGCUUGCCUACUGGGCCAGGGUACAACACGCCCAUAACCUUCCCUCGUUGGACGCACCGGCGAGAGGCACGACAAUAGACCCAGUUAGGACCUUCCCAUACCGGUAAGCGUGGUUGCACUGGUCAGCAUCAAUUCAGCGGCACCAUGACUCAGCCAACAGUUGUUCACGUUCAAUUAAAUCCGGAUAACUUGAAUGUAAAUAUGCUGAGCCAUGAUAAAAUAACAUGAUGCCAACAAUAAUACAUGAACAUGAUAUCAACAUCAUCAUGAGGGUAUCACAUAACAAUCCACCAUAUCAACAAUAAAUCAUAUCCACUGACCAUGCCAUACUAACUAGCAUGACCAUUACCAACAUCAACAUGUACCACUAGCAAUCGUAAACAUAUGAAAGGAAAUAGUAGCAGGUAUAACAUGAUCACAAAGUACAAAACAACAUAGCACAAAAGUGAACAUGCAAAUCUGAACAUCACUGGAACAACGAUAACCAUCUUUUCAACAAGCAAAUAUUUAAUAAAAAUUCAAGUUGAAAACCAUGGGUACUGCAUGACUAUCAUGCAAGUGGGUAUUGUGGCUUGCCUGGGGAUGACGAAGGCACCAG
rnacentral:lncRNA from 1 species